UACGGGGGGGGCAAGCGUUGUUCGGAAUUACUGGGCGUAAAGGGCGCGUAGGCGCUUUUCAAGUCGGGCGUGAAAUCUCCGGGCUUAACCCGGAAGGGUCGUUCGAUACUGAUGAGCUAGAGUGUGGAAGAGGCAACUAGAAUUCCGUGUGUAGCGGUGAAAUGCGUAGAUAUACGGAGGAAUACCUGAGGCGAAGGCGGGUUGCUGGGCCGAACACUGACGCUGAGG
rnacentral:rRNA from 1 species